rnacentral:tRNA from 1 species
GGCUUCGUAGCUCAGCCGGUAGAGCACUCGCAGUACCGGUGCGAGGGUGACAGCCCUAUAUGGGGUCGAAUCCCGCCGGGGUUA